rnacentral:tRNA from 1 species
GGGCCCGUAGUCGAGUGGUUAAGACGUCCGCCUUACAAGCGGAAGAUCCCAGGUUCAAAUCCUGGCGGGCCCA